UACGAAGGGGGCUAGCGUUUCUCGGAAUCACUGGGCGUAAAGCGCACGUAGGCGGAUUGCUAAGUCAGGGGUGAAAUCCUGGAGCUCAACUCCAGAACUGCCUUUGAUACUGGCGAUCUCGAGUCCGGGAGAGGUGAGUGGAACUGCGAGUGUAGAGGUGAAAUUCGUAGAUAUUCGCAAGAACACCAGUGGCGAAGGCGGCUCACUGGCCCGGUACUGACGCUGAGGUGCGAAAGCGUGGGGAGCGAACAGG
rnacentral:rRNA from 1 species